CUUCCUUUAGCUCCAUAUAAGGUAUGUUCUCGUUUCUGUACAUGCAUGAAAAUAUAUCUACGUUUACAUAUUCAUGGUUCAUGAGGUUGAAGGUCAUGAAUUUUCGCCGUUUCGAAGCUGGUGAGGAAUCAACUAUCAUCAUUCAUAGCCAACUUCAACAAUUUCAAAUCACUAUUUCACUCCAUUUUUCAUUCACUGUAGAAGAAAAUGAAAUUGCACUGGACGCAAAAAAAAAAUGUUAAUAGAGGGUGAAAAUUAUAUAGAUGUGUACAUACACAUUUACAUACAUACAUGUUUACGUGUGUGAGGAGAGGGG
rnacentral:lncRNA from 1 species